GGAAAUGUGCCCGAAACUCAAGGAUUACUUUGAUAGAGUAAAACACAGAGGUUAAAAUCCUCUCAUUUCCC
rnacentral:tRNA from 1 species